UGCCUACGGGGCGCAGCAGUGGGGAAUAUUGCACAAUGGGGGAAACCCUGAUGCAGCAACGCCGCGUGAGUGAAGAAGUAUUUCGGUAUGUAAAGCUCUAUCAGCAGGGAAGAAGAUGACGGUACCUGAUUAAGAAGCCCCGGCUAACUACGUGCCAGCAGCCGCGGUAAUACGUAGGGGGCAAGCGUUAUCCGGAUUUACUGGGUGUAAAGGGAGCGCAGACGGCAGUGCAAGUCUGGAGUGAAAGCCCGGGGCCCAACCCCGGAACUGCUCUGGAAACUGUGUAACUGGAGUGCAGGAGAGGC
rnacentral:rRNA from 1 species